rnacentral:tRNA from 1 species
GGGCGUGUACCCAAGUGGCCAAAGGGGGCAGACUGUAAAUCUGCUGGCAAUGCCUUCGGAGGUUCGAAUCCUCCCGCGCCCA